UCUACUUUCCAAUUCGCGAUUCUCGCUAGUGCUUCCCCCGCUUCACCAUACAAAUUCAAUAUCUCUAGUUAUUUGACCUAGACAUAAACAUGAAACUUCAGUCAUUAAAUCAUUCGACGUUGCAACAAAGAUGACUCAUACAUGAGUCUCUUGUGAUGAUUAUCCGAAGCAAGAGGUAAACUACCAUGAUCUCUAGACCUCUUGUCGUUUUCUGUUGGGUUUCUCACCUGUAAUGGCUGUCAUACACUCGGGUAAGACUUUCACAUGUUUUCCCCUCUAAUUUCACCCUCCUUGUUUUCAUUAUCCAUCCUUCGUCAUCUUCCACUAUCUAUUUGAAUUUGUGAAAUCCAAGGGCUUCAACAACCACUAUAAAUUGGGGCUUUUAAUGUUUUCACCUAAAACACAACAAGAGAUACCUAUAAACUAUACCUAGAGUAUGAGAAUUUAAUAGUUAUUGGAAAAUUUCAAUAAAAAGUCUUGAGUUCUUGAUCAAUUUCUGCUUUACCUUUCCUAUCUUUUUCUGAGUUUGUUAUUGAUUGGGAGCUUGAGCUUUUGGCUUCGUAAAAGCUAAUUUGAACAUUGGUUUGGAUUGCUGCCCCAAGGAGGUCUGUAAAACUUUGACCUUGUUCUUCUUUUACUAGUUUAAGUUCCUCGAUAUGAACUGCUUUACUACUUUUGCUAAAUAAUUUUUUAAACAAUGUGUUCAUGUUUUUAAUUAUUUUGUAUGUUUUUGACUGUUAAGUAGAUUAUACAAUCAUGAACUUUGCUAAGUUGUUGGAAUCAGAAUUUUAUGUUGAUAUUAAUAUGCAUCUGAUGAUUUAUGUUUACUGUUAACUUUGAAAGUGACUAUAUAACUUUGUAACGUUCAUAAUACCUUGUUUUAGACAUUUUUAAUAACAUGUUAGAAAUACCAUCUCGUGACCUUUAAACCUGUUUUACUUCUUUAUUAUGCUUUUAUGAUUCUGUUAAUUACUUAAUUAAACUUAUGAAACAUGUUCUAAGCUAGUUGGAUCCAUGUACACUUUUGUGUAUGUUCUGAGAUAGAUUUACACUUAGUUUAAGUCAUGAACUACGGAUAAGAUGUAUUUAAGUUAUGAUGACACCUUUCGUUGGCUAAAGUAUUACUGUUAAGUUCCAUUAUAUCUAAAAUCUUAUCCCAGUCAUGCUUAACAAAUACCCAACAUGAAGAUACCUUUACCCUUUUUUCUAAAGCUCAUAUAGUGAUAUUGCGCUUGGGCUGAAAGAGCCACUCCGGAGUCUGUACACACCCCUAGUGAGCGCCGUCGACGUUAAAUCAUAUGCAUGGUUGGCUCGGGCUGCAUGCCGCAGCGUAUUCAUGUCCAUUGCAUUGCAUUCAUGCCUUUACUCCUGUUUGUACUAUGUGGCAUGACAUUUGUACUACUUGUUUGUUCUUCAAUAUCUCUGUUUGUCCCUCAUGAUCCCAUACAUACCCACACUAUUUUGAAAAAUCACUAAGCUCUUUUAAAUGGAUUAAACUUAGUUUGUGAACUCUAAAGAGAAUCUCUUGUUGCUACUGCUUAGAUAUAACAUCAUACUUUGUUGUUAAUGAGAUUAGUAUGAAGUUAAAUCUCUUAGGAAGAAGUGACUAUAUCAUUGAUUUUAUAGUUAAGCAAGACUGAUGGUUUGAGAUACUGUUAAGUACUUUAGGAGCUCUAAUUUAAUUUGUGAACCUAUGACCUUGUUAAUAUUCUUGGAAGUUUUAAUUUUAGCUUGCCAAUUUGUGAUCUUGUUAAUAUUCCAAGAAGUUCUACUAGGUUGAGGAUUGUAACCCUGUUAAUGCUUGUCGAAACUCUUAUUGCAGUUUGGCAUCUCUGGUAAUACUUGUCGGAGUUCUAACUGUGGAUUGCUAUUCUGAAUCUCUUUUUGAAUAUUCUAAUUGAUGUUAUCAACAUGUGUCUCUUUAUUGAGGCUACUGACUGUAUUUCUAAUUGAUGUUGCUGACCUAUGUCUGUAUUAGUACUCUUAGAAAGUACCAGUUGUAGCGUUUAACCUGUAUUGUUGUUAAUACACUUUAUAAGCUCUAAUUGUAGUUGUUAAUUUGCCCUCAUCUAAUGCUCCUCAGAUGUUUAGUUGAAAUUGUUAGUUCACGUCAUUGUUAACAUUUGUUUAGGACUAUUAACCUAUCUGUGUGCUAGGGUGUAAGACCUAAGUAAAAAAUAAUCUUUGAUUAGUUUAAUAGAAGGUUGUUAAGGCAGUGUUGUAAUGACCUGCCGAUCAUUUUGAGAACUAAUGUCUCGCUCCCCUAUUAACUAUUUUUCCCGUAUUUAUUUAUACUAUUGUGAGUUGCCGAGAGGAUUUGUUUGAAGUUUCGGAGUAUUUUGGAACACUUAGUCUCUAAAUGAGAGCUUAAGCUUAGAAGUUGGACCGUAAAUGGAACAGUGUGAAGACAGCCUUGUGAUGGAAUUGUGUCGAUUCUGUUAGCCCCUUUAGGUGAUUUUGGGCUUAGGACGUGUUCGGAUUUUAUUUUGGAAGUUCGUAGCUUAUUUACGCUUGAAAUGCCAAAAGUUAAAUUUUUGACGUUUCCGGAUCGAUAGCGAGAUUUUGAUAUCGGAAUCCGAAUCUGAAUUUGAAAGUUGGAAUAUCUUCCUAUUACUGAAUGUGACUUGUGUGCAAAAUUCGGGGUCAAUUGGACAUGGUUUGGUUGGUUUCAGCAUCGGUUGUAGAAUUCUUGAGAUUUCAAGUUCAUUAGGCUUGGAUUGGAGGGUGAAUCGUAUUUUUAGCGUUGUAUGAUGUGAUUUGAGGGAUGGAUUAAGUUUGUAUGAUGUUUUACAGAUUUGUUGGCAUGUUUGGUCGAGGUCUCAGGGCCCUCGGAUGUGUUGCGAAUGCUUAACGGGUCAUUUUUGGACUUAGAGAAGUGGCAGAUUUUCUGGUGUUUUGUUGUAGAGAUACCCUUCUUUGCGUUCGCGCGAAGGGUCUCACAUUCGCGAAGAGCGUUUGGGAGAGGGAGCUGAGUUGUGCUUCGCAUUCGCGAGGUAUGGACCCUUAGCCUACGCAUUCGCGACAAGGUCCACGCGUUCGCGAAGGGUUUGCCAGUGCAAGCUACGCAUUCACGAGUGGACCCUCACAUUCGCAAAAGAGGAAAUUGGCCAUGGGAAUUUUGUGCAUCGCGUUCACAAAGAAUAACGCGUCUGGGAAGAUUUAAAUUCCAAAAUUGAGGGUUCGAGUUCAUAACUCAAAAUUUGAUUGAGAGCUCGGUAGGAGGCGAAAUUUGGAGAGAUUUUAUGAGGAAGUUUGUGGGUAAUGAUUCCUAACUCCUUUUUUAUUAUAAACCAUUAAUGUAAAUAUGAAUUCAUCAUCUAAUUUCGGCUUUGGGGUGAAAAUUUGAGAAAAGUUCUUAGGCCUAAUUUUGGGGUUUUGAUCAAGAUUUUGGUAUCGGAUUUGAGUGAGUUUGGUAUGGUUAGACUGGUGAGUAAAUGGGUGUUCAUAACUUGUGACUUUUACCCGAUUCUAAGAUAUGGGCUCGUGGAGGAUUUUUAGGCAUUUUUCUAUUUUCUUACCUUAGCUUUGAUACUCUUAGCUAAACUCGUUGUUUGUAGUUAUAUUUACAUGAUGAUAUUGAUUUGAUUAGACUUUUACCACUCGGAGUUGGAUAUUCGUGGAAAGAGCGUGAUUUCGGAUUCAUUUUAAAGCGUUUCGGGUAAGUGGCUUGCCUAAUCUUGUGUGAGAAAGUCCCCUAGGUUUUUGUAUUGGUUUUAUAUGAAUAUCGUGUACGUGAGGUUACAAGUGUGUACACAUGCUAAUUAUUGGAAACCCUCAUUUUUAUUAAGUAAAUAUUUGUAUUUCCUUUUUUUUGGACACUACUUGUAUUAUAAAUCAUACUGUUUAGCUUAGGAAAGCAUGCUUCAGUGACUUAGUUGUUCUAUCUGCUUUAACUAUUUACUUGAAUUAUGUGCAGCAUGUUUAGAAUAGAAAUCUCUGUUUUCUUUGUACGAACUUAGAUAGAACUAUAGAUUCUUUCUUUUGACUGUUGUGUGUUUACUUUGGGACUACGAGAUGAUAUCCCGAAAGACCACCCUGCAUGUUUACUUUGGGACUACAGAUCGGUAUUCCGGGAGAUCCCUUUGCACAUUUAUAAUUGGGACCACGGGACAACAUCCCAGGAGAUUCCUCUGUACUGGAUAUUUUUUUUGGGACUACGAAUUGGUAUUCUGGGAGAUUCUAUUGCAUAUUUAUGAUUCAGACUACGGGAUGAUUUCUCGGGAGAUCCGUUGCUUAUUUACGUUUGGGACUAUAGGACGAUAUCCUGGGAGAUCCCCUAUUGCUAUCUUUGUGUACUGAGUUAUAUUCUUUCUAUGAUUUUAUUAUUUAUCGAAUUUCAGUAUUUUAAUUAUACUGUCACAUUUCAUACUAUUUUACCUUGUUUUAUUUAUCUAUAACCAGUAGGACCUUGACCUUCCUCGUCAAUACUCGACCGAAGUUAGGUUUGACACUUACUUGGUACCACUGUGGUGUACUCAUGCCCUUUCCUGACAUAUUUUUCGUGUGUAGAUGCAGGUUCUACUUUCCGGCCAUACUUCUAGUGAGGCGAGGCGAUCCAGAGACUUCGAGGUAUAUCUCCAGUGUCCGCAGAUCUAGAAGUCCCUCUCUAUUCCUCCUUUAGUUACAGACUUUGUGUAUUUUUUCGUAGUUAGACUUUUUGGAGAUUAGAUAUAUUAUGUACUUCUGUAGCUUGUGAUUUCAUGAAAUUUCGGGUUUCGGGAGUGUUUUAUGUUCGUUUGAGAGAGUGAUAUUGUAUAUGAUGAGUGGCAUUUUAAUCUUCGCUACUACAUUACCUGUAAAUUGCUAGUUUUGUAUCUUAUUUCCUUUUUCCGCAAAUUGCUAGGCAUACCUAGUCGUAGAGACUAGGCGCCGUCAUUGCAGUUUAUGGAAGGAGAACUUUGGUCGUGAAAACUUGGUAUCAGAGCUCCUUGAUUCAUAGGAGUCAUGAAUCAAAAGUCGUUUUAUUAGAGCUUCGUGGAUCGGUACGGAGACGUAUGUACUUAUGUAUGAGAGGCUAUGUAACUUAUAGGAAAAGUCCACUUCAUUUGAUUUCCUUGUCGUGCGAGAUUUUGAUAUCAAAAUUCUAAACCUCUGUCUUCUAUUCUCUCAUAGAUGGUGAGGACACGUGCUACCUGAGAUAACCAAGCACCCGCACCCCCUGCUAAAGCUGCAGACGUCGGGGCCAGGGUAGACGCCGAGGACACGCACAUGGUGCAGCCAGAGCACCCAGGCGAGCUACCACAUAUGAGCCACUACCAGCUCCAACCAGAGCCUAGUUACCUGAUACGCCUACUACUACUAUUCCAGUUCUUCAGGAGACCCUUGCACAAUUUGUGACUAUGUACACCACUCUAGCUCAGACAGGGCUGAUUCUCCUUGUUGCAGCCACAUCCCAGGUCGAGGGAGGAGCGCAGACUCCCGCCGCCCGCACCCCAAAGCAGCGGGUCCACGUUGAUCAGAUCCUAUAGGUUAUGCUGGUACCGCUUAUAGACCGAGUUCAGCCCAAGGACAGGGCAGCAACUUUAGAGGAUGAACAAUGGAGGCUUGAGAGGUUCAUAAAGUACAAGCCACCUAUAUUCAGUAUUCUAGCAUCAGACGAUGCCCUGGAAUUUUUGAGUGAGGUUGUAGAGAGAAUUGGAGAGGAAAGGGGAUUCAGGGGCGGCGAGUUUAGGGGUCGUUUGUGUUUAUCUUAGAAAAGGGAAAUGUGGACCAUUGAGCAGAAUAAUCAACGGUCAAGAUUGAAUGAAGUAGGUGGGUCGGGUUAUAAAAUUAGGUUUGGGCUUAGUCAAAUGGGUUUAAUUGGGUUAG
rnacentral:lncRNA from 1 species